GCCAGCGUGGCAUAGUGGGUUGAGUGUUGGAAUAUGACUCUGGAGAUCAGGGUUCGAUUCCCAGCUCAGCCA